rnacentral:rRNA from 1 species
GAUGAACGCUAGCUACAGGCUUAACACAUGCAAGUCGAGGGGCAGCAUGGUCUUAGCUUGCUAAGGCCGAUGGCGACCGGCGCACGGGUGAGUAACACGUAUCCAACCUGCCGUCUACUCUUGGACAGCCUUCUGAAAGGAAGAUUAAUACAAGAUGGCAUCAUGAGUCCGCAUGUUCACAUGAUUAAAGGUAUUCCGGUAGACGAUGGGGAUGCGUUCCAUUAGAUAGUAGGCGGGGUAACGGCCCACCUAGUCUUCGAUGGAUAGGGGUUCUGAGAGGAAGGUCCCCCACAGUGGAACUGAGACACGGUCCAAACUCCUACGGGAGGCAGCAGUGAGGAAGAUUGGUCGAUGGGCGCAGGCCUGAACCAGCCAAGUAGCGUGAAGGAUGACUGCCCUAUGGGUUGUAAACUUCUUUUAUAAAGGAAUAAAGUCGGGUAUGUAUACCCGUUUGCAUGUACUUGAUGAAUAAGGAUCGGCUAACUCCGUG